GCUAGGUUUUCUCCUCCUUGCAGAUCCAUCCAGAGAUGUUGCACUGUGUCAAAGCAUAGGGACCCUCAGGCUCAGGGGCCAAAUGUGGCCCUCCAGACCUCUCUGCCAGGCCCUUUAUUCUCACCCUAGGCCAUGCUCCCCUCUAUUAGCCCCACCUCCAACAGCUCCAUGUCCUCCUUGCCUGGAUGGAGAAGUAUGUAUAUGUGUGUCUCAGGUCUGUAGCUCCACCCACUUUUGCCUCUGGCCACACCCACUUUUGACAUCUGACAACCUUACACUGGGAUGUAGUGCUUGGAAGGUUGGCCAAGAGGGAAUGAAACCCUUGAAAUGAAAAAGGUUCCCCACCACCACACUACAUCUUCUUGUACAAUUCAUCAGUCAAUGGAUGCCCCUAACCUAGCCGUACUUCUGCCUUUUCUUUUCCCUAGACCGCCACCUUGUAUUGGGAUGAUUCAGAUCUCAGGUCAUCUCCCCCACUGCCUCCCCCAUUUAUUCUGUUGCUCCUUUUACUAUGAAAAUCAUUCAGAAAAUUAUCCCAGAUCUUUGGUAUGGAUGAUGAGAGGGACCAAGCACAGAGAGAGAGAGAGAAAGGAAGGAAAGAAGAAAAGGAGAGGGAGGGAGGGAGGGAGGGAGGGAGGUGUCCAGUUGCAGAAUCACAACACACCAGACAACCUUUGAGCUUAUGGGUAAAUGGAUUUUCAUUCUCAGCCUCCAACCUCUUCCACCCCAUAUGUGUGGAGGAGAAGUUUUCUUGCAAGGAGAUAUCUGGUGACAUAGGGUAGCUUCUGAAGACAAUGUAUGAAGCAUCUUAUUUUGAUGAACAUGAACAUAGCAAGAGGCACCACCCCUCAACAUGACCAACGCUCCUUCAGAAUUCCCCACCUCUCCUCCACAACGGCUUCUUUACCCCCAUUGUUUUUCAUUGACAAAAUGGCGGCAACAACAACAAAAUCUCCGCCAGAGUUCCUCCUGCACAAUCACCCCAAAGUUCAACCAACCACAAAGGCCUGUAUCUCCCCUCACCCAACGCUACCUACAAUGCCUUCCAUCCAGCCCGUGGGUGGAAAAUCUCCUGCUGUUCCAUAGGCAAGGGAGAAACACUCGCAGAACAAAAUCCGGCCCACGUGACUCAGAGAACAGACACAUUUUCCUCAUACAUCCACAAGUCUUGAUGCCUUGAGUCACAAACACAGAGAGGAUGAGUUGGCAGAUGAUCACAUUGCAAUGUUUGAAUUGGUUUUCCUUUUUUAAAAAUGAAAAAAACAAAAGGAGAGGGGGAGUUAUACACACAUGUAUCACAGCAUUUUAGCGAGGUGUUCUCCUGUGUUUUCCCCGAUAGCAGUUCAGCUCUCUCUGUUAGGCCUGGAUGUAAGGCAGUUGGAAGUUGAAAGCAGCAUCCAUGAAGCGUCCUCAGUCGCAGUUGUAUUCCGCAAGGUUCUUGAUAAUUUGCCUUGUUGCUUAAAGUUUAGCAAGGAAAGGGAACCUUUUAAAAAAAGAUGUUCUCGUUCACCCCCUUUUAUUGGUAAGUCAGACAAAAUUAACAGGCAAGAUUUUUGUUGUUGUUUAAAAAGAGGAGAGUGUGCAGGAAAAAGGGAGGGAUUCUGAAGAUGGCCUUGAGGAGGUUACAUUUUAGAGAGAGGUAACACAAAUGCUUGAUUUCUGUUUCCCCAAUUUGCAACAGGCAAGAUUGUGUGUGUGUGUGUGUUUUAGCUUCC
rnacentral:lncRNA from 1 species